rnacentral:rRNA from 1 species
AACGUAGGACACAAGCGUUAUCCGGAGUUACUGGGCGUAAAGGGCGUGUAGGUGGUUGCGUAAGUCUGGCGUGAAAUAUCUCGGCUUAACCGAGGCAGGUCGUCGGAUACUGCGUAACUGGAGGACGGUAGAGGCGUGUGGAAUUCCGGGUGUAGUGGUGAAAUGCGUAGAGAUCCGGAGGAACACCAGUGGCGAAGGCGACACGCUGGGCCGUACCUGACACUGAUGCGCGACAGCAUGGGGAGCAAACAGG